UAGUGAAGACUUCUGUUAAUUUCACAGCCUCUCUGCGUGCACUGGUACUACUACUAGCUAGUGGUAAAUUCAAAGCAUUCAAGACAGAGGAAAAAACACACAAUUCAAGCAGCUAAGCCCCUUCUAGAAUGGAACAGACAAAGGUGGUCCAAGGAAGAGCUAUAGCAAUCAAGCUGUGCAUUGCAUUGCAUUGCAUGCAUGAGAAGGUUAUAACCUCUGCACUCACACCAUAUGCAUGUCCUUUUUAACCCAUCCAAUGCCCCUUGUUGCUGCAACCUCAUUUAGAUCUCAUCCUUCUCUUCAUAUAUACAUGCAUACUGCUAUAAGUCUACUGUACGUCUACCACAGCUUGCAGCCAUAAAGCUCUUCGUCCUCUCUCUUUCUACGGCUGUGGAGCUGAAGCAUGGCCUAGCUGAGCUAGCAGCUGGUUCUUGGUUAUAUAAAGAGAGAUAGCUAGGAUCAAGAGAGAGGCAGAUGGCAUGGAGAGGUGUUGCAAUGUGCAUUGGAUGUGUAGAUAGAGCCUGCAGAUCUCGAUCGAUCUCUUCAAGUCCAUGCCAUGCCUUUCCACAGCUUUCUUGAACUUCUCUUGUGCCUCACUCACUUUCAUUACUGGAGAGAUAUGCAUCAUCAGUGGAAGCUUAUAGGGAGAGGAGUGCAAGAAGAGGGUCAAGAAAGCUGUGGGAAGAAAUGGCAUUACAAGGACUUUGAAUUCAGUUAGCAAUGCCAUGAGACAGGCAGAGAGAGAGAGAGAGAGAGAGAGAGAGAGAGAGAGAGAGAGAUGUGAUGCUAAUUUUCCAUUUCAUUGACACUGGAGCGAUUGGAUCUAUCCUCUUUGUAGGGAGGCAUUUGAAGGCACUUCUCACAUGUUCAAGGAAUGUUCUUUCAUCUCUGAAGUGUGGAACAAAAUCUGUAUUUGGAAGGGGUUAGAUCACAACUCUUUGCCUAACAACUUGGAUUUGAAAAGCUGGUGGUGCUCUCUUUCAGCCAUUCAACCAAAACCCCAUCAAAAAAGAAUUAUGGGUUGUUUGAUCACUUCCUGGUAGAACAUCUGGUUGGAGCGGAAUAAGCGUAUAUUCCAAAAAACUUUGUCAUCGGCUGAUAGGGUGGCUUCCUUGAUUCUGCAAGAUCUUGACCUGAGACAUUCAGCUUUCCAAUCUCAGUGAGGCCGUCCCUCUUUUUGUAAUUUUUGGUUUUUUUCGCUUUGCUUUUGUGCUCUGUUUUUGUAAACAACUUUUUCUUCUUCUAAUAUAUUCCUGCAGCCCUUCUGCGUCGUUUCCCUAAAAAAUAAAUAUAAUGGCAUAUUCAGAAAAAAAAAAGACUAUACUGUAGCAAAAUUAAGGGGGAAGUUUAAUGGGCCCACUCUCUGAAAGGCUGAGGCAGGGGAUUGGGUAGUUCCAUAUCCUGUCAAGCUGGAGAAGUAUAGGCUUUUGCUUUAGAGAGUCCCACAGGCAGUGAGGCAGUGACAGAAGGCAGCUUUCCCUCCUGCUCACUCCACCUCUCUUUCCUCACCUCAGCUCAGCUCAGCCCAGCCCGCUUCAGAGAAGGAAGCUCACUCACCAUGCAUCCAUCGCAACAAAACAAAAGAGCAGGGACGGCACAUGGCGCCAACGGGGGGGGUCACUGAAACGUGGGCCCCACCGCUGGUCCAGGCCCACAUGUAGUGUCAGUGGCUCGUGCCGUGACAGGUAGGCUGCUCUGCUCAUCUCCGGAAUCUAGAUCGAUCUCACUCGCCCUGUCUGUCGUCGUCUCGCUCAUGUCACUCGUAGGGAGAUCCGAGUAGAAGGAGAAGAAAGAAUUUGGAUGAAUUCCACUGCAAGGAAGGCAAAGGCAAAGGGAGCAAAAGCACAAGGAUGAUGAUGUUGGAUGGCUGCUUCAGGAAGGAAUCCCAGUGAAAAUUCUCCCUGGGAACCUGCCUGCCUGCACUGCACUGCAACCCCCAGCAUGGGGACAGAAAGAACAAUAUGCAUGCGUGCGUGGCUGGCUCUCUCAGACAAAAUACCUGAGGGUGUGUUUUUCAUGCUAAAAUUAAAAGUUUAGUUGAAAUUAAAACGAUGUGACGAAAAAGUUGAAAGUUUAUGUGUGUGAAAAAGUUUGGAUGUCAUAAAAAAGUUAGAAGUUUAAAGAAAACUUUGGAUCUAAACUCAGCCUGAUGUGAUUAAGCUAAAGUAGGAAUAAAUGAACAGUAACUCCAACACACCACUUCAUUUCACUUUUGACCGGUCACUGAGACCCUUCUACUGAAGUAUGAACCCCAUGUAAAUUAAAAUGCAGAUAUAUAUGUACAAACACAGGUGCAAUGAAAAAAGGAAGUUGAAUUCCUGCCGGUUUAUAGUCAAA